rnacentral:rRNA from 1 species
GACGAACGCUGGCGGCGUGCUUAACACAUGCAAGUCGAACGGAAAGGCCCUGCUUUUGUGGUGUGCUCGAGUGGCGAACGGGUGAGUAACACGUGAGUAACCUGCCCUUGACUUUGGGAUAACUUCAGGAAACUGGGGCUAAUACCGUAUAGGAUCUCCUGCUGCAGGGUGGGGGGUGGAAAGUUUCGGCGGUUGGGGAUGGACUCGCGGCUUAUCAGCUUGUUGGUGGGGUAGGGGCUUACCAAGGCUUUGACGGGUAGCCGGCCUGAGAGGGUGACCGGCCACAUUGGGACUGCGAUACGGCCCAGACUCCUACGGGAGGCAGCAGUGGGGAAUAUUGCACAAUGGGCGGAAGCCUAAUGCAGCAACGCCGCGUGCGGGAUGACGGCCUUCGGGUUGUAAACCGCUUUCGCCUGUGACGAAGCGUGAGUGACGGUAAUGGGUAAAGAAGCACCGGCUAACUACGUG